UUUCUUGAGAAUGGAUUUAUUUGGAUCAUCUCCCAGGACAUGUACAUGCUGAUAUCUCCUGAAAACAGGGUUGCCAUCUUUGUUUCAGUACUUACCACUGUUCUCAGCACACAAAUAUUGGAUAUUGUCUUUCUACAUGAAGCUGCCACCAAGAUGCAAUCAGACUGCUUCUAAUCCUUGGAAUACUGGCUGAAGCAAGAGGAAUAGGUGUUGUGACUCUCAGUGGGAAAAUUUGGGGGACAUCUAUAGAAUAAUUGGAUUUUUACGCUUUUUUCCUUCUCUACUUUUCCUCUACUGGAUUUUAUGGAAGCUCACCAAUAGAAUGCCUUUCCAAGAAGGCCAAAUCCCCAUAAGUCUUGAAGAUGGUCUUUAGGCUGUGCAUAUCUACUCUCCCUGCUCUUUAAGCUGUCUAGACACUGAUACCCUGAUCUGGGGACCAUGUAACUGCACUAGGAUAAUACAGUGGCUAAGCUAAUAAGCCUAUGGGGAGAUCAGAAUGGAUUAACUUGGGCACAGGGCUGUGCUUUGAAACUUCAGCCAGCUUUCAGACUGAGAAGAGGUGGCACAAAUACAGAGCCAGGGACAGCAAUGCCAGCCACAAAUGCAUCCAGCAAGGACUGGCUGCUUGUGCUGUUUUGCUGCUGCACUCAAGAUGCUUCUCAAUAUUUACAAGUCUUGUUGAUUUUAGAGAGGACAUAUAUCAUAAGGCUAAAAAAUAAGCAGAAGUCCUGACAUUGAGUUUGCACUACUGGGGGAAUGAUUAAGCCUUUGGUGAAUUCACUUUGUUGUGCAUGCUUAUAUAUGCAAGCUAGCUGCAGUCUAAAUGGGGACUGCAACAUCCAUGGCUGUAUCAGUGAUGGGAGCAUGCGGUUGUGUUGGCCAGUGCUAAAGCAUUUUCAAUCCCUCCAGUAAAUGUGUGUUUUUGCACAUGUUUGCAGACACAUACCUGCACACACCCCCAAGCACACCCACCAAGCCAGUAAGGGAUGCAGCCACUACCCAGCUUUUUCUUGGCAGGGCUCUGCACAUUGUGUCAGCCAAGAAAAAUUUCACAUUUACAGGAAAACCCACUGCUGUUCUCACCCUGUUACACAGUAAAUAAAAGCGUUGCACAGCAAAUGUUGACACAGUAAUUCACAGAGGAAUUUCACAGGCAAAACAACCAUGUAUGCACAGAUGCUAACAAAAUAACCCAUGAUUUCACAUGCACUUGGUAAGAAAUGAUUGCCUUGCAAACUAACCAAGGAUAUGAGAUGAUUAUCAUGAAUCAUCUGAUACCACCAGGUAUUGUACUAAGCAGGUUUAACUUAAGAGAGCUUGAAGGAACAUACAGAGUUUUGCUUGAGGUUUCAGCCAAUACUGAAAAAAUAUCUCCAUUUCUUAAAGUUUCCCAGCCCCAUUUAGAGAUCCCAAAUGACCGAAACACUACUGCCAAGUUUUAUUUACAUUUCAAAAAGUGGAACAUUUUUCUGGCCAUGAACAGUGACCCUUUGGACUGUUGUGUGUCCCUGGUGCAUGCUAGAGAGUUUUAAAACAGAUACAGUCAUGAGAAUAAAGUAAAUCAAGUCUAUGAAUUCCUGGAAAAGAGAAAAUAAUCAGAGCUUAUAACAGUAAAUAAAACUGGACAGACCUCAUUUUACAAU
ensembl:lncRNA